UACAGAGGUCUCAAGCGUUGUUCGGAAUCACUGGGCGUAAAGGGUGCGUAGGCCGCGUGGAAAGUCAGAUGUGAAAUCCGGAGGCUCAACCUUCGAAUAGCAUCCGAUACUACCUCGCUAGAGAGCUGUAGGGGGGUUUGGAAUUCUCGGUGUAGCAGUGAAAUGCGUAGAUAUCGAGAAGAACGCUCGUGGCGAAAGCGAAACCCUGGACAGUUUCUGACGCUGAGGCACGAAGGCUAGGGGAGCAAACGGG
rnacentral:rRNA from 1 species